rnacentral:rRNA from 1 species
AUGCUCAAAAUUGAUUUAGCUAAAGAUUUUGACAAAAUUGAGUGGAAUUUCAUAGCUUGAGCUCUUGCAUGUAAUGCUCUUCAUGCCCAUUUUAUAAAUCUUGUGCAUGCUUGCAUAUCUUCACCCGCUUUCUCAGUUAUCAUUAAUGGCUAGUCUUUGGCACGCUCUGAAAGUAGCAGAGGCAUUAGACAAGGCUCCCCCAUCCCCAUCUUUUUUGUCCUUGUAGUGAAUGAACUCUCUUUGGCGCUACAGGAUGCACUUCAGGACAAUCACUUUCGUAUCUCCCUUGGACCAAACUGCCCUCCUAUACAUUCUUUCAUGUUUGCAGAUGAUCUGCAUGUAUGUGGCAAAGCUACCAUGCAGUAAGCAACUUACAUGUCCUACCUUUCAAAUCAAUCCUGCCAUAAUUCAGUACAACUUUCGAAUUGGUCCAAAUCUGGUAUGAUGUUUUGUAAAAAGGUUAGUUUGUAG